GACGAACGCUGGCGGCGUGCCUAACACAUGCAAGUCGAGCGGGGUUGAGGCGAGGGUAACUCGAGCUUCUACCUAGCGGCGGACGGGUGAGUAACGCGUGGGCAACCUGCCUCAAGGUUUGGGAUAACAGCCCGAAAGGGCUGCUAAUACCGGAUAUGCCUAUGGCCUCGCAUGGGGCUAUGAGCAAAGGGGAAACCCGCCUUGAGAUGGGCCCGCGUCCCAUCAGCUAGUUGGUGAGGUAACAGCUCACCAAGGCGACGACGGGUAGCCGGGCCUGAGAGGGUGACCGGCCACACUGGGACUGAGACACGGCCCAGACUCCUACGGGGGGCAGCAGUGGGGGAUCUUGCACAAUGGGCGAAAGCCUGAUGCAGCGACGCCGCGUGAGCGAAGAAGGCCUUCGGGUUGUAAAGCUCUGUCUGGAGGGACGAACAAAAUGACGGUACCUCCGGAGGAAGCCACGGCUAACUACGUG
rnacentral:rRNA from 1 species